rnacentral:rRNA from 1 species
GAUGAACGCUGGCGGCGUGCCUAAUACAUGCAAGUCGAGCGAACGGACGAGAAGCUUGCUUCUCUGAUGUUAGCGGCGGACGUGUGAGUAACACGUGGAUAACCUACCUAUAAGACUGGGAUAACUUCGGGAAACCGGAGCUAAUACCGGAUGAUAUUUUGAACCGCAUGGUUCAAAAGUGAAAGACGGUCUUGCUGUCACUUAUAGAUGGAUCCGCGCUGCAUUAGCUAGUUGGUAAGGUAACGGCUUACCAAGGCAACGAUGCAUAGCCGACCUGAGAGGGUGAUGGGCCACAGUGGAACUGAGACACGGUCCAGGCUCCUACGGGAGGCAGCAGUAGGGAAUCUUCCGAAAUGGGCGAAAGACUGACGGAGCAACGCCGCGUGAGUGAUGCAGGUCUUCGGAUCGUAAAACUCUGUUAUUAGGGAAGACCAUAUGUGUAAGUAACUGUGCACAUCUUGACGGUACCUAAUCAGAAAGCCACGGCUAACUACGUG